GCGCUGGGCACAAACCUUCUGGCUAGUUUUGGAGGGAGGCGGGACCCGGGGCUUCCCCGACGCCCCUGCCAAAGGCCGAGGGUGGCUGCAGGGAUCCAUUGCCUAUUGGCGACUUGCGAUGAGAUACUGAAACACAGUAGAAGCAAGACUAUGCAUGUGUUAUACCUCCUUAUCCAAUUAGAGGAUUCCCCACCCUUACUCUCAGAAGACAUGUUCCAAGACCUCCACUGGACUCCCGCAACCAUAGAUAGCACCGAACCCUGUAUAUACUAUUGCUUUUUUCCUAUACAUACUUACCUGAGAUGAAGUUCAGUUCAUAAAUUGGGCACAAGAAGAGAUCAACAGCAAUAACUAAUAGUAAAAGCAAUUAUGACA